rnacentral:tRNA from 1 species
GGUUGUGUCUCAGUGGUGGAGCGCUUGCCUAGCAUGUGUGAGGCACUGGGUUCGAUUCUCAGCACCA